rnacentral:rRNA from 1 species
UUGCACGCUGGCGGCAGGCCUAACACAUGCAAGUCGAGCGGAUGAAGGGAGCUUGCUCCUGGAUUCAGCGGCGGACGGGUGAGUAAUGCCUAGGAAUCUGCCUGGUAGUGGGGGAUAACGUCCGGAAACGGGCGCUAAUACCGCAUACGUCCUGAGGGAGAAAGUGGGGGAUCUUCGGACCUCACGCUAUCAGAUGAGCCUAGGUCGGAUUAGCUAGUUGGUGGGGUAAAGGCCUACCAAGGCGACGAUCCGUAACUGGUCUGAGAGGAUGAUCAGUCACACUGGAACUGAGACACGGUCCAGACUCCUACGGGAGGCAGCAGUGGGGAAUAUUGGACAAUGGGCGAAAGCCUGAUCCAGCCAUGCCGCGUGUGUGAAGAAGGUCUUCGGAUUGUAAAGCACUUUAAGUUGGGAGGAAGGGCAGUAAGUUAAUACCUGCUGUUUUGACGUUACCAACAGAAUAAGCACCGGCUAACUUCGUG